UGCCGCGUGCAGGAUGACGGUCCUAUGGAUUGUAAACUGCUUUUGCACAGGAAGAAACAACGCUACGUGUAGCGUCUUGACGGUACUGUGAGAAUAAGGAUCGGCUAACUCCGUGCCAGCAGCCGCGGUAAUACGGAGGAUCCAAGCGUUAUCCGGAAUCAUUGGGUUUAAAGGGUCCGUAGGCGGUUUAGUAAGUCAGUGGUGAAAGCCCAUCGCUCAACGGUGGAACGGCCAUUGAUACUGCUAGACUUGAAUUAUUAGGAAGUAACUAGAAUAUGUAGUGUAGCGGUGAAAUGCUUAGAGAUUACAUGGAAUACCAAUUGCGAAGGCAGGUUACUACUAAUGGAUUGACGCUGAUGGACGAAAGCGUGGGUAGCGAACAGGAUUAGAUACCCUGGUAGUCCACGCCGUAAACGAUGGAUACUAGCUGUUGGGAGCGAUCUCAGUGGCUAAGCGAAAGUGAUAAGUAUCCCACCUGGGGAGUACGUUCGCAAGAAUGAAACUCAAAGGAAUUGACGGGGGCCCGCACAAGCGGUGGAGCAUGUGGUUUAAUUCGAUGAUACGCGAGGAACCUUACCAAGGCUUAAAUGUAGAUUGACCGGUUUGGAAACAGACUUUUC
rnacentral:rRNA from 1 species